ACGAAGGGUGCAAGCGUUACUCGGAAUUACUGGGCGUAAAGGGUGCGUAGGUGGUUCAUUAAGUCUGCUGUGAAAUCCCCGGGCUCAACCUGGGAAUGGCAGUGGAUACUGGCGAGCUAGAGUGCGGUAGAGGGUAGUGGAAUUCCUGGUGUAGCGGUGAAAUGCGCAGAUAUCAGGAGGAACACCGGUGGCGAAGGCGGUUCUCUGGGCAUGUCCUGACGCUGAGGAGCGAAAGUGUGGGGAGCGAACAGGA
rnacentral:rRNA from 1 species